rnacentral:rRNA from 1 species
GAUCAUGGCUCAGGAUGGACGCUAGCUACAGGCUUAACACAUGCAAGUCGAGGGGCAGCAUGGUCUUAGCUUGCUAAGGCUGAUGGCGACCGGCGCACGGGUGAGUGACACGUAUCCAACCUGCCGUCUACUCUUGGCCAGCCUUCUGAAAGGAAGAUUAAUCCAGGAUGGGAUCAUGAGUUCACAUGUCCGCAUGAUUAAAGGUAUUUUCCGGUAGACGAUGGGG